rnacentral:rRNA from 1 species
AGCGAACGCUGGCGGCAGGCCUAACACAUGCAAGUCGAACGGAGUCUUCGGACUUAGUGGCGGACGGGUGAGUAACACGUGGGAACGUGCCUUGAGGUUCGGAAUAACUCAGGGAAACUUGUGCUAAUACCGAAUGUGCCCUUCGGGGGAAAGAUUUAUCGCCUUUAGAGCGGCCCGCGUCUGAUUAGCUAGUUGGCGAGGGAAAGGCUCACCAAGGCGACGAUCAGUAGCUGGUCUGAGAGGAUUAUCAGCCACAUUGGGACUGAGACCCGGCCCAAACUCCUACGGGAGGCAGCAGUGGGGAAUCUUGCGCAAUGGGCGAAAGCCUGACGCAGCCAUGCCGCGUGAAUGAUGAAGGUCUUAGGAUUGUAAAAUUCUUUCACCGGGGACGAUAAUGACGGUACCCGGAGAAGAAGCCCCGGCUAACUUCGUGCCAGCCGCCGCAGUAAAAC